GGAAUGUUCACGGGUAUGAUACAUUCACCGUUGACGGAGGGUGUUCACUAGCAAACGGUGCCCGGAGGUUGUUCAUUAGCAAGCGGUGGCGCGCGGUGAUGUUCAAUGGAAGGAAGGGAAGCGGAGAGGGCGGGGAAAAAUAUACAUUUUCCCAACUUUAUGUAAAUCACCAGCGGCAACCGCUGGGUGAUGACCAAUCAUAUCAAGUUCCCAUGACGAAGGCUGGAGACUUUUUCAGCAAAGAUGACUGACAAAAAUACUAGGAUGGAAGCAAAUAUCUGACACCCCCAGCACUUCAGCUGCAGUCACAGCUGUGUUAUUUCAUUUACUGGAUGCAUCAGUUCCUGCUACACUGGCCUUGAAGUGUAAACUUGUAAUGGAUACAGAGGUUCGGGGAGGGCCUUUGUCAUCACACCCUCCCACACAACGGUACUGCAGUGGUCCCAUGGCCGGAAUGACACUCAUGGAAUGGGUGGUGGUUGGGCAUGGCCCUAUUCCAACUCAUACUUACCUGGCAGGGGAGACACCUUGAUCACGAAGGAGGUUGACCCAUGGUGCGGCUCGGCCAUUGCACUCCGGCCAUCGACUGUAUAAUUUGUGGUACUGGGGGACCUCGUCCGCACUCUCCCUUGAUCUUCUGUGUUAAAGGAAUGAAAGGACAGGAACUGGAGUAAAAGCGGGGAGGAGGCUGAUCUCUUCGGUCACCCUCCCACAGCAGCAUCACGCAUGAGCAUUGUGUGUCCACACUGUGGCGCUGUGGAUUGAUGGCCUUGGGCCCUCCACAGGAAGGAGUGCCUAGCAAAACGAUGAGGCUUUAUUUGAAUCUUAUUUCAGAGCUUUAGCUGGAGUACCAGUGGGGUUCCAGUGGCCCCUGCUGGAGAAAGGGAGAACAACAGAGAAAAAAGGCUUACAGCACCUGGUAUUCCCAGGCGGUCUCUGAUCCAAGCCCUAACCAGGCCUGACCCUGCUUAGCUUCCAAGAUCAAAUAAGAUUGGCCGUGUUGUGGGUGGUAUGGCCAUAAGCAACGGCACUCGUGGAAAAGAAGCCGCUUGUGGCUGGCGUCAGCCCCCUCCUUCAAAGCAGUGUCACCUUUUUAAUGUUUUUAUUUUUUUCCAGUCACAACAUCACAAUUAAAACAUAAAACUCAGAUGAAAUUUGACACAACAGAGAGAAAAAGCUUAAAUCAUCUGGUAUUCCCAGGCAGUCUCCCAUCCAAGUACUAAGUAUGCCCGACCCUGCUUAGCUUCCAAUAUCAGAUUAGAUCAAUUUCCGUCCAUUUCCGCCAAUGCCAACCGAUGCUUGUAUCUGUGCAGAUGUGUAUGUCUGAGCAUUGUUAAUGUUGGUGACACCCCUCUGCCUAGGGAGAACACGACAUGUCUUUUAUCGUGGGUGUUUUUAUCAGAUAACUGUCCUACUCUAGUUAGAGCCCUAUGGUACUGUGACGUGAAAAAUAAAUAUUGCCACGUGAUUAUAUUAUUGAUUGAUCAGAGUUCAACAUCAAAUGUCAGACCAUUGGACAAAGAGGAAUAACAAUUCAUGAUUUACAAGAAUGAGCCACAUCAGAUUAUCGUCUUCUCAUUUGUUUUGGUUGGGGGACUGUUUGAAAUGGAUAGAAAUUCUUAUCAACCUAUAACAUAACAUUUUAUAUUUCUUCCAUAUAUUACAGCCUAGUGAUGUGUUGUUCUCACAUGGAGAUAUAUUUUUCAACCACGUUUCAAGUUUGAUCAUUUGCUUGUCAAAUUAGAUUACAUUUUUUAUUCCAUUUAACCUUUAUUUUACCAGAAAGUCUAUUGAUGCUUGUUCCUGCUUUUCAAAAAUAGAUCUAGACGACUGAUCUGUUCAAUGAAUUGAGGAUAUACCAACCAUGCCAGUGAAUCUGUAUGCCAGAUCACAGGAGGUUUGUGGCACCUUAAUUGGGGAGGACGGGCUCCAAAAGGUAUUUCCCCUACAAACACAGACACACAAAUAAUCUAAUGAAGCUAACCUCACCAUUAUGAUGAAUCUCCACAGCAAAUUGCUAGAUGAUAUGUUAGCUUUGGCUACUGCUCAUUGCCUGUGAUUUCUCAUUCUACUUAUUAAUGUCAGACUUCCGCUGUCCAUCACACCUGAGCUUAAUUUUCCUGUCCACUUUACACAAGUCAAGGUUGUAAUUUGUGGGGUGGAACGGGGGAGACAACAGUUACAUUUGUCACCCCCACAUUCAAGUACAUUUUUUAAAGAUAUAUGUAACAGGGUUAAGUUCAAUUAGAAUAAAGUCACUCAAUUUAGGAAGUGAUUUUUAUUUGAAAUUCAGAAAUGUUUAUAUAAUAGCUUUUCCUUUUCAGUUUAUAGUGAAAUCAUUGAACAUGAAGGUGCAUAAAGAUGUUGCAAUACAGAAAAGAAUUGGAAUGUAUUUACAACUACAAUUAUUUGAAGUGGCUUCCUCUUCUCGUCUCUUUCCUAGUAACCAUUUAGGUACAGUUUACUCUAAAUUAUCCAUAUACCGGUGUAUUCUUAAUGGCAUAACUACAAUAAUAACAUUCUAUUGCUAUAAUUAUAUAGCACUCAACUCCAUUAUUACGCAAUCCAAAUGCACUUAGUGUGAUGGUGUGUUUCAGGUCAAAUGAGUGCAUAGCGAAUCAAUUAGGCCCCUAAACCUAGACAGUGCUCUACAUGAUAAUCCAAAAACAUGGGAGAGCCCUUGCAAUCUCUCAUAUGUGACCCGUUUCAGGAAGCUAGGCGUAUGUCGCACGUCACAACUUCACAGGAGAGACAUUUGAGCGGCACCUAAUUCCUGCUGGAACAUGUGAACUUUCAUGUGCCUUAAUAAAAAACUUGUAUGCCGUCUAUAAAUAGAACAACAUUGUUAAUUUACGAGCCUAGUUCAUUUAGCCACGGAAAAAGGCAGGAACCUUCUCAUUAGCCAGGAUUAACUGCGAUAAUGGAUGGGUUGGACAUGCCGAUAGAUGAGUUCGGAUUGGUCUACCAUGUAGCCUGCUUCUGUCUAUAACAUGAGCUUCUCAGUAUGUGUAGAUAAUCCUUGCUACCACCGCUUUUUUUUAAGUUAUGGAGAACUGCAAAAGUGUUGCUACUGCUCUCAACAACAUUGCUGCCCUGAAUUUAGUAGGUGCUAUCAACAAAGUUCAGUGGGAAAAGUUUGUUCUUAACUGACUUGCCUAGUUCAAUAAAGGUUGAUUCAAAAUAAAAUAAAAGCAGAGUAUGAUAGCUAAGGAGAUAAUUCUGGCAUUUCAUUGCAAACGUGAAGGGUGUCGAAAAGAGAACACAGAAGGCUGUUGUAUAAAACACCUGACUCCGGAUUACAUCUUAAAACUAAGGGCAACCAUGGCAUCUGUGACAGACAGGGAGAAGCGUUCAUCCAUGUAUAUAGGUAAGAGUCUAGCUAGCUACAUUUUCAGAUAUUAUACAUUUCUAAUUGUGUCAGAAAGUUGCUUUCAUUGCAAGUUAAAGCGUGCUGUUAGCUAGCUAGCUAAUGUUAGCUGGCUGGCUCGCUAGCAAACGUUACGUGUAUGAUCUGUGUAGUAAUAUUAUUUGUAUCUCAGAAACCCAUUUGCAUUGCUAGUUAUAGCCUAAUAUUAGCUAGCUACUAACAUUGAACCUAGUUGGUUAGCUUUAGCUACUUCCCAGGUUGAACAAACAUCUAGCCUGAUUCUGGCAUGCCAGAUCUAAAACUGCUCGCCCGGGUCUGGCAGCUGGAUCCGUCCUGAGUUCAAAAUGAAUGAUGGUACAGACUAGGCCCGAGUCAUUCGGCGGCUAGAUCGGAUAGCCUGAACUGAGCCAAAGCUGCCAUUUUAGGGCCAUAAACGACCCAGCAAUGGCCCAAAUCCACUCGAUUCUACUGUAUCCCCUGCCCAGUAUUCAUGGAUACAGCUCUCAGAUGAUAAACAUAUGGUCCGUGCUACUUAGAAUACUUUGGACAUCCCUACCCAAUUGAAGUUGACAUAUAAAAUGGUUAAGGUUAGGUAAGGGAUUUGGUUAUGUGUAAGGUAAGGUAAGGGUUAAGGUUAAGGUUAUGGUUUAUGGUAUGGAAGUUCCAAGGAUCCCAGAUAACCCUCACCAUAAACAUAUAGGAGCUAUGUAUGCAAGGACUGGCCAUUCAUUAUAUACAAAUUAUAGUUUGGACCAUGUUUUGAGGCUAUACAGUGUUUGUUUUCAGUUAAACAGGCCUAUGUUCAGAUCUGAUGCGGAAGAACAGUUCAACUAAGCUCAACAACCAUUUAUAACUUAUUUUCUUCAAGAAUCAAUGGGUAUACAAUGCCUAGUGAAAGUCUACACACCCUUGAAAAGUUUUCACAUUUGAGAUUGACUCCUUUACUGUCCACACUUGCCACACCAGCUCAGGCUCAAGAUGCCAGCCUUCAGAUUCACAUGUUGAGUAUUUGGCGCACGGUGGUGGAAGGUGGAGACAGUCCAUCAGAGAGACAAAUAAGAAGACAUGUAUUGUAGAGCACAUCACUGUACAUGUGGUUCAAGUGAGGAAGGGGGUAAACUAGAAAUACUCAUCAUUCAACCUAUAGAAUGUUGCUUUACAUUAUACUUAUAGUUAUUAUUAGUGGAAAGUUAAAAUGUAUUGUAAACCAGAAUCGAUGGACUGUAAUUGUUGUUCAACAAAUAAUAUGUUAUUAUGAGUGAUAACUGUUGUGUCACACAUAUGCUUCUAGCUGUGAACAGUCUGAGUAUUUGGCGCAUUGUGGUGGAAGGUGGAGACCAGUGGCGACCUGUCAUUCAGGGCAGCUGGGGCAGAGCCUCACCUGUUUUGAGCCCCACCUGUUUAUUUAUUUUAGACUGUUUUGCAU